rnacentral:tRNA from 1 species
GGCCGGGUGGCGGAAUGGCAGACGCGCCUGACUCAAAAUCAGGUGUCCCUAGGGCGUGUGGGUUCAAGUCCCACCCCGGCUACCA